rnacentral:lncRNA from 1 species
CUUACUCUGUCCUCCAUUAGCCACGCCGAAACCCCUAAUUUCCAACCCUCGAGGUUCGACAAUGGGGGAAGGGGGUGACGCCUUACAAAAGGCUCACCGAUGCUGAGCUCCAAUUAAAAAGAGAAAAGGGAUUGUGCUACAAAUGCGACGAGAAGUUCCGCCACGUCACAGAUGUCGCUACAAGGAACUGCAGGUCCUUGUUGUUCAAGAGGAGGAUGAGGUGGAAGCACCGCCGGAUUCGGUGGGCGAGGAAGGGGGAAAUGAAGUACAGGAGGUGGUGGAACUUUCACUAAACUCGGUGCUCGGGCUGACAAAUCCAAAAACGAUAAAGGUUACUGGGUCGCUGAGGGGUUAUUCUGUGGUGGUGUUAAUUGAUUGUGGGGCUACCCACAAUUUCAUCUCCUUAGAGUUGGUAAGAAAGUUGUGCAUUACGAUUACAGAUACUAGCCGGUAUGGUGUUACGGUGGGAAUCGGUUCAUUGGUCAGGGGAGUGGGCAUUUGUAAAGGAAUAGUCAUAGCCCUGCCAAACAUUGAGAUUGUGGAUGAUUUUCUCCCUUUGACAUUGGGAUGCACCGACUUAAUAUUGGGUAUAAAGUGGCUAGGUACAUUGGGGAAAAUGCAAGUGCAUUGGGGACUCCUGAUUAUGAAAUUUAAGGUUGAUGGGAAUUCGGUAACGCUACAAAGAGAAACUAACUUACAGAAUACUCAGGUUUCUAUCAAGUCGAUGGUCUGUAACUUUAGGGAGGGGGACCAAGGGGUGCUAUUGGAGCUAGGUAGCCUGAGCUUGGAAGGUGAGGAAAAGGUGAUAAGGGGAGCUUAUCGAAGUGUUGCAGCGAUAUUAUAAAGUCUUUGAGUGGUCCAACGAGUUGUCCCCACCACGUUCUCACGAUCAUGGAAUUGUGCUCCAAGUAGGGGCAGCCCCUGUAAACGUGAGGCCAUAUCGUUACUCGAAUUUUCAAAAGAAUGAGAUCGAGAAAUUGGUGCGGAAUAUGUUGGAGGCUGGGAUAAUCCAACCUAGUUGUAGCCCGUUUUCAAGUCCUGUUUUGUUAGUGAAAAAGAAGGAUGGGAGUUGGCAUUUUUGUGUGGACUAUCGGGCAUUAAACAAAGUUAUAGAACCAGAUAGAUUUCCUAUACCAGUGAUUGAUGAAUUGUUGGAUGAGCUUCAUGGGGCAACCAUCUUUUCAAAGUUGGACCUUAAAUCGGGUUACCAUCAGAUAAGAAUGAAACCAGAUGAUGUGCCAAGACAGCUUUUCGAACUCAUGAGGGCCAUUACGAAUUCUUGGUUAUGCCGUUUGGGCUGACAAAUGUGCCGGCAACAUUUCAAAGCUUAACGAAUGAAGUAUUUCGCCCUUAUCUUAGAAAGUUUGUUCUGGUCUUUUUUGAUGACAUACUAGUGUACAGUACUUCGUUGGGAAAGCAUUAAGAACAUCUGGGCAUUGUCUUAGGGUGUUUACAGCAGCAUAAGUUAUAUGCAAAUGAGAAGAAGUGCACAUUUGGACAGCCUCAACUGGAGUAUUUAGGCCACAUUAUAUCAGGACAAGGAGUGUCAGUUGAUAAGUCUAAGAUCGAAGCGAUGUGCAGUUGGCCUUUACCUCGGAAUCUUCGAGAACUAUGUGGAUCUUUGGGACUCACCGGCUACUAUCGACAUUUUGUAAAAGGGUAUGCGAGGAUUGCUUGGCCACUAACCAAAUUGUUGAAAAAAGAUGGGUUCAACUGGAGUGAGGCGGCAGAAGAUGCUUUUUCCAAAUUAAAGACAGCAAUGACUGAGGUGCCUGUUCUCGCCUUACCCGACUUCUCACAAGUGUUUAUGGUUGAAACGGAUGCAUCGGGCCAUAGAUUGGGGGCUGUUUUAAUGCAAAGAUAGCAUCCCAUUGCCUAUUUCAGUCGGGUACUACCUCCGAAUGCUAGGCGCAAGUCAUUUUAUGAGCGUAAAUUAAUGGCCAUUGUGUUCUCCGUUCAAAAGUGGUGGCACUAUCUACUGGGCAGACACUUUAUAGUAAGAACGGAUCAGCAAAGUUUGAAAUUCCUGUUGGAACAGUGCCUGGUUUGUGAAGAACAUCAGAAAUGGUUAUCCAAACUUCUUGGCUUCGACUUCGAAAUUCAGUUCCAACCUAGUCUAGAAAAUAAAGCUGUGGAUGCCUUUUCAAGAAUGGGGCCGACAGUAAGCUUUUUGGAGGUUUCAUGCCCCUGGGUGUUAGAAUUGGACGAGGUCAGAUUGGCUGUGGCAAGGGAUAGGGAGUUAAGCAAAAUUGUGGCCAAUAUCCAAUCAGGAAGUGAGGAGAAAUCGGGCUGCUCGGUUGUGGAAGGAAUUUUGCAUUACAAGGGCAUAUUAGUGUUACCAAAACCGUCUCAAUUCAUUGAGAUGGUCCUCCAGGAAUAUCAUAACACUAGAAUUGGCGGUUACUUGGGAUUUCUCAAAACUUACAAACGAAUUGCACGAGAAGUGUACUGGAAGGGGAUUAAAAAAGAUGUCAGGGAAUUUGUAGGCAGCUGCAGUGUGUGUCAACAGAAUAAAUAUAUGUCCUUGUCACCUCAGGGACUCUUGCAACCGCUGCCAAUUUUGGAGCGAGUGUGGGCUAACAUUUCCCUAGAUUUCAUCGAAGGGUUGCCUAAGUCUGAAGGGUGGGACACUAUUCUAGUAGUAGUCGAUUGACUUAGCAAAUAUGGGCACUUCAUCGGGCUAAAACAUCCCUUCACGGCACCUCUGGUAGCUAAGGUCUUUAUACGAGAAGUCGUCAGAUUACACGGGAUUCCACAGUCUAUUGUGUCAGACAGGGACCGCGUUUUCAUGAGUAAAUUUUGGGAGGAGCUUUUCCGAGCCCAAGGAACUGUCCUUAAGAGGAGUACAACAUACCAUCCACAAACGGACGGCCAAACAGAGGUCGUCAAUCAAUGUUUAGAGACGAGCUUGUGCUGUUUUGCCUCUACUAAACCACGCAUUUGGGGACAGUGGUUACCAUGAGCCGAACUCUGGUAUAAUACCUCAUUCAACACUACCACCAAGCAUACACUUUUUCAAAUUGUGUAUGGUUGUGAUCCCCUACCAGUUUUGCCUUUUGAGAAAGGGGUGAUAGUAGUUUCUUCAGUGGAACUAUCCUUAGUAAGCAGGGAUGAGGUCCUCCAGCACCUCAAGAUGCAACUUUUGCGUCCCCAACAAUGAAUGAAGCAAGAGGCAGAUGGGCAUCGACGUGAUCUAUAGUUGGAAGUAGGAGACUUAGUGUAUUUGAAAUUGCAACCUUACCACCAAAAGUCUGUAGCUCAGCGUUCAUCAUAAAAACUCUCUCCCAGAUAUUAUGGACCUUUUGAAGUUCUGGCUAGAGUGGGGCAGGUUGCCUACAAGUUUAAACUUCCCUCGGAAACUGCUGUUCAACUAGUUUUUCAUGUGUUGCAAUUCCAGAAGGUGGUAGGAAAUGAUCAUACUGUAUCACAACUACCAGAACAUCUUGCUGAGGAAGCUCAGUACAAGGUGGAACCAGAGGAGGUGUUAUAGUACCGUUCUAAUUUAGAAAGUUCAACCUUGAGAAUUGAAGUUUUAAUUAGAUGGAAGAAUUAUCCAGAUUACGAAGCCACUUGGAAAUCUGUAGAAAACAUUAACUAGCAAUUUCCCGACUUCCACCUUGAGGACAAGGUGGAUUUCCAGGGGGGUGGGGGAGAUAAUGAUAGGCCCCAGUGAUAUUUACGUACGCAAGAAAGAGUAAGGUGACAGCUAAGUUAGCAAAAUGACAGAAUCAAUUCAGCAUGCAUGCAGUUUGUUAUUUAGUUAGGCCGUUACGGGGUGAGGGAUAGAGAGUUAGUUGAGAAAAUGUUAAUAAAUGUAAUGGGAAAAAGGGGGUAAGGGCAGGAAAAUAGUAAGAGUCUAGUAGGAGAGUACAAAGCCUCUCAAAAGCUCUGGGUUGUUUUGGAGUAUUUCCUUAUGUUCAUCUCAAUAAAAUCGUUAAUUUCCAUUUCAGAUUUCUUUUCGGUUCUAAACCAACCAGCUUAAACAGUUCAAGUUCCUAUCAAUUUUGGUAUCAGAGCAGACCCACGUCACAAGUUCGAAUCCCAGGAAAGGCGGCCCAAGCAAAG